UGAUAAUUCUUGUAUUAAUUCUCGAUGGCCGACUUCUGAUAACUAUUUUAUUCUGUAUUGCAGUAAUGAAUUAAAUAUGUAAUGCAGAAAUGCAGAUAUCAAUUUUAUCUUUUGUGUAGAGCCAUACAGUGCUCAUGUCAGCACUCUGAGCUACUGUAUUACAAAACUACACUGCAACUUGUUGCCAGACACAGAUAAUGAAAGUGGUACAUUGGAGAUCCUCAAAGAGCAUAUGCAUGUGCUGAGAAGUAAAAUCAAGUGCUUUCAAAGCCAGAUCCUCUCAUUAGCAAUGAUUUAUCUGUAUAUGUGUGUGUGUUAUAGUUCUCAUCAAUGACAGUGCAGAAAACCUGAGCACAUUCCUACAUCACAGUAUGGUCUAUAUUACGCUUUGGCGCUGAGAGCAAGCUAUGGCUUACUUUGAAGCUGUGAUCAAACUUGACAGGUGAUGUCCCAGCCUCCUCCACUCUCAGACAAUAAGACUUUCAUUUUCUUUUGUUGCACCAGUGCAGAAGGCCAUAGCUGAGGAUAAAUUUACUGAAGCAUGAAACUCUUUGAAAGUUACUUUUCAAAAAUCUAUUCUUGUUAAAAAGUGACACAGAGUCUCUGAGCAGCUUAUUUAAAAUCAUUGAAAUCUUAUCUGAGUCAUCAUCUCUUCUAUCUGUGUGCACCUCUCUAAAGGCACAGCAGAUUUGCGGCUGUUGCCCACGUCAGUUUGGGACUGAUCUGUAUGCUGAAUAUGGACCGACAUUAUGAGGCCAUCAAAAAGUUCAGGAAUGCAUUGAAGGAGGAUCCCAUCUAUUUAAAAGCCUACGUAUGCCGGGCCAGAGCCUACUACAACAGGGAAGUACUUGGAAAUGAAACAGUUUGACCUGGCUACCCUCUUUACACGAUACGCAGCAGAAAUGAAAACAGCUCUGGGUUUAUCACCGGUCCAGCAAGCUGUCGUCCAAUCAUUCCUGGGGAACGAUGCCAAUGCCAUCGUCUGUCUCCAGGAAGCGGUCGAUAUGUGUCCUUCUCCUCCACACCUCUUUCUUCUCGGGAGGACACUGAUGAGGUAGAACAGGUUCACAGUGAGUCCGAGACUCAUGCAGGGUUUAUCUUAGUCAAGCUCUGUCUGGCAGAACUAAGCCAGCAAAACACCAAACAGACUUCUCCAAAGACACCAACAAAAAUAGGUAAUUAUUAGUAUUUAUUAUUACUUUUUUUCAACCGUUUUAGAAAUACACCAAAGUGAUAAA